UAGCUCAGAACAUUUUAAAAUAUUGCAUUUUUGUGCUGAAACUUUCCAAGGUUGAUUAGAGCACAAAGGUGAAUUAUUUUGGAAAAUUUAAGCU
rnacentral:pre_miRNA from 1 species